CUACGGGCUGCUCCAGUGAGGAAUAUUGCACAAUGGGGGGAACCCUGAUGCAGCAACGCCGCGUGGAGGAUGAAGCAUUUCGGUGUGUAAACUCCUUUUAUAUGUCAAGAAAAUGACGGUAGCAUAUGAAUAAGCACCGGCUAACUCCGUGCCAGCAGCCGCGGUAAUACGGAGGGUGCAAGCGUUACUCGGAAUCACUGGGCGUAUAAGGACGCGUAGGCGGGUUGGAAAGUCAGGUGUGAAAUCCUACAGCUUAACUGUAGAACUGCACUUGAAACUUCUAAUCUAGAGUAUGGGAGGGGGGGAUGGAAUUAGUGGUGUAGGGGUAAAAUCCGUAGAUAUCACUAGGAAUACCUAAAGCGAAGGCGAUCUCCUGGAACAUUACUGACGCUAAGGCGUGAAAGCGUGGGGAGCAAACAGGAUUAGAUACCCCCGUAGUC
rnacentral:rRNA from 1 species